GCCAGAGUGGUGUAGUGGUUUGAGUGUUGGACUAUGACUCUGGAGAUCAGGGUUCAAUUCCUCACUCGAGCA
rnacentral:tRNA from 1 species